CUUCACACUGACAGCAAGCCCUGUCACCAGGCCAGCAGGGAGGCAGCUCAGGAAGCUAAGCUGGCUGCAACACAACCUUCCAAAAAUACGUUUCCAGCUGGCCUUGCUCCACGACGCAGCUCACCGUGGAGAUGGGUGAGAGUUUGCGCUCACCUGUGGCUGGGAGCGGGCAGGAGGGCACAUGGCGGCGCCUCUGGCCUGCGGUACCGGGCAGCCUCCUGCUGCCGCGAGACCGACCUCCCGGAAGGUGCCGGAAUGUCUCUGAGCAGCCCUGCCGUCCUCUUCAUCCUGCUGCCCCCGGUGCCUGCCCGUGAGCCCUGCCAGGGUUCGGCUGCUGCUGCUCCCCGUGCCUCCGUGGCGGGCUCCAUCCGCGUUAAUGCCUCAUGUCCACUCACUCAACAAGGACCAAGACUUGAGCCCAAGUGUGUUGGCCAGGAUCCCCUGUGAGCAGCACAGGACAGGAAGAAAGCUGUCAAAUCCUCGUGACACCUCGGGGGUUCCUCUUGAUUGCUGGUGACAAACUAAUUUUUGGAUGACCUUUUAUAUCCUUUAGUGAUCAUCCAGCAUUGUGGCAUGGUCAUUUUAGUUUUCAGCUUCCAUAAAUCUUAGGACAGGCAGCUGUUCAUCGUCUGUUUCUCCUUUGUUUUUCUGUAAUAAAUGUUUUUAAAUAUAUGCCA
rnacentral:lncRNA from 1 species